AAAUUUAUUCCCAAAAAGUUUUAUUGAGCUUUCUUUGGAUGUCUUCUUCCCUUUCCCAACCUCUGGCUCUGCUCUUCCACUUCCUCUGCCAUUUAUAAGCUAUCUGUUUCAUACUUCACUCUCAAAACCCCAACUUCAAUGUCCACUCAAUAACAUCCUAAUUCCCGUUUGUCUCUUCUCUAAGCUCACUCACUACUCCAUUUUAAUCAUGCCAUGACAUAAACUGUUUGUUAAAAUGCCUCUGAGAGUUCAAGUCAUUGGGCCAGCAAAAAAAAUGCUAACUUGUUAAUAAAGUCAUUCAUUUUCAUGUUCAUUGAUAAUUAUAAAGAAUGAAGCUUUCCCAGUAUUUCUAUAUAAGGAUGAAGUUUCAUUGUAUAUUGUGUUAACCCCAGUUGAUAAAUGACUCUUCUUGCUAAGUCAUUGAUGGUUUGUGACUCCAUUCAACUCCUUCAUUCCCCACUUUCAGCCUCUCUUCUAAGCAGCUUGUGUCAUUCCCUAACAUGUAAAUUCAAGCCCCAUUCUUCUUUGAGGGUCUUCUCUUUUAGCAACAACAAUCACAAGUUAAAUUCAGCUGGUUUUAGUUGUGCUGCAACUUCCCAUGUUUAUGAUGAAAUCCCUCUUAAUGAAAGUGAAGGUUCCAACUCAGUUGGAGUUGAUUUCCUGCGGUUGAUGGAAGAACGUGGUAUUCGUGCUAAUCUUCAAACUUAUCUAUGGCUUUUAGAGGGGUGUCUAAAUUCUGGGUCUUUGGUAGAUGCUAGGAAGCUUCAUUGCAGAAUUUUAAAGUUGGGUUUUAAUGGGGAACUUGUCAUGUGUGAUAGGCUUAUGGAAACUUAUAUUUCUUGUGAUAAUUUCGAAGGGGCUGUUAAAGUUCUUGAUGAAAUGUCUAUUAGAAGUUUAUCUUCUUGGAAUAAGAUAAUUCAAGCUUUACUAGCAAGGAAAUUGAUUUCUCAAGUAUUGGUUAUGUAUCAUAAGAUGGUAAUGAAUAAUAUUGAUCCUAAUGAAACCACUUUUGCUGGAAUUUUAAAGGUCUGUGGCUAUGGUGAUGUUGGUUUCGAUUAUGUUAAACAAAUUCAUGCAAGAAUUAUUGGUCAUGGAUUUGAUACAGCUCCAUUGGUAUGCAAUCUAUUGAUCGAUUUAUAUUCCAAAAAGGGGUAUGUAGAUUCUGCCAGAAAGGUCUUUGAUAAAUUGGUUUUGAGGGAUAGUGUUUCUUGGGUUGCAAUUAUUUCCGGUUUGUCUCAGAAUGGACGUGAAAAGGAAGCUGUUAUGCUUUUCUGCCAAAUGCACACAUCAGGAAUCUCCCCUACUCCAUAUGUUUUUUCAAGUGUUCUAAGUGCUUGUACCAAAGUAGAAUUGUUUAACAUGGGAGAGCAAAUUCAUGGUCUUGUUUUCAAGGGAGGUUUUUCUUCGGAAAGAUAUGUGUGCAAUGCUCUUGUAACACUAUAUGCUCGCUCGGGAAACUUGAUAUCUUCAGAGAAAGUCUUUAGUGCAAUGCAGAACAGGGAUGGAGUUUCAUAUAACUCCCUUAUCUCGGGUCUAGCUCAGUCUGGUUUUGGUGAUAGAGCCUUAAAAUUGUACGAGAAAAUGCAACAUGACCGUUUAAAACCAGACUGUGUCACAGUGGCAAGUCUUUUAAGCGCCUGUGCAUCUGUCGGGGCACUCGAUAAAGGAAAACAACUUCAUUCAUAUGCUAUAAAAGCAGGAAUGUCUUCAGAUAUUAUCAUUGAAGGUUCUCUGUUAGAUCUAUAUGUUAAGUGUUCUGAUUUGCAUACUGCUUAUGAAUUUUUCAUUACAACAGAGACAGAAAAUGUGGUACUAUGGAAUGUGAUGCUAGUUGCUUAUGGACAGUUAGAAGAUCUAAGCCAAUCAUUUGAAAUUUAUAGGCAGAUGCUGAUAGAAGGCAUUAUUCCCAAUGAAUUCACUUAUCCAAGUAUUCUGAGAACUUGUACUGCUGUUGGGCAACUUGAUCUAGGAGAACAAAUCCAUACUCAAGUAAUAAAAACUGGAUUUCAGCUCAAUGUCUAUGCGUGUAGUGUACUUAUCGACAUGUAUGCUAAAAUUGGGAAGCUUGAUACUGCUCUGGAAAUUCUAAGAAGACUUAAGGAGGAGGAUGUUGUCUCAUGGACUGCUAUGAUUGCAGGGUAUACACAGCAUGAUAUGUUUUCGGAAGCUCUUAAAUUGUUUGUAGAAAUGGAAAAUCGAGGGAUCAAACCCGACAACAUAGGUUUUGCGAGUGCCAUCACCGCAUGUGCUGGUAUUAAGUCACUGGCUUGGGGAAAACAAAUCCAUGCUCGGUCUUGUAUUUUGGGCUAUUCAGAUGAUAUCUCGAUCCAAAACGCUCUUGUAAGUCUUUAUGCAAGAUGCGGUAGCAUACAGGAAGCUUACUUGGCAUUUGAGAAAAAUGAUAGUAAAGAUAACAUAUCGUGGAAUGCAUUAAUCUCAGGCUUUGCACAGAGCGGUUACUGUGAGGAAGCACUGCAGGUAUUUUCCGAAAUGAAUAGAGCUGGUGUUAAGGCUAACUUGUUCACAUUUGGUUCUACAGUGAGUGCUGCAGCUAAUUUAGCAAAUGUAAAACAAGGAACACAGUUUCAUGCCAUGAUCAUUAAAACAGGAUACAGUUCAGAAACCGAGGUUUCUAAUGUUCUAAUCACUUUAUAUGCAAAAUGUGGAAGAAUUGAUGAUGCUCAGAGAGAAUUUUCUGAAAUGCCUGAAAAGAAUGAAGUUUCAUGGAAUGCAAUGAUUACUGGCUAUUCUCAACAUGGACUUGGUAUUGAAGCUCUAAAUCUUUUCGAGCAGAUGAAACAACUCGGUCUGACUCCAAACCAUGUCACUUUUGUUGGGGUUUUGUCAGCUUGUAGUCAUGUAGGUUUGGUUGACAAGGGACUUGCCUACUUUGAUUCUAUGAGCAAAGAGUAUGGUUUAAUUCCCCAUCCCGAACAUUACGUGUGUGUUGUUGAUCUUUUAAGUCGAGCUGGUCUACUCAACGAAGCAAAAGUAUUCAUAGAGAAGAUGCCAAUAAAACCAGAUGCAAUUGUGUGGAGGACCCUAUUGAGUUCUUGUACAGUUCAUAAAAAUGCAGAAAUUGGAGAGUAUGCUGCCCAUCAUCUUCUCGAGUUGGAACCCGAGGACUCAGCUACAUAUGUACUCCUAUCAAAUCUAUAUGCAAUAGCAAAGAAAUGGGAUUUCAGGGAUCAAACUAGGAGAUUGAUGAGAGAAAAGGGUGUGAAGAAAGAGCCUGGUCGUAGUUGGAUUGAGAUUAACAACUCGUUUCAUGCAUUCUUCGUCGGUGACAGACUCCAUCCACUCGCAGAUAAGAUAUAUGACUUCUUAGCUCAUUUGAAUACUCGUGCUGCUGAAUUUGGAUAUGUGCAGGACUGUUAUUACCUCUUAAACGAGGUAGAACAAGAGCAGAGAGAUCCAACAACAUACAUUCAUAGCGAGAAACUGGCGAUAUCUUUUGGACUCCUUAGCUCUACUAAUAGCCGUCGUCCUAUACAUGUGAUUAAGAAUCUUCGCGUUUGUAAUGAUUGCCAUAAUUGGAUUAAGUAUGUAUCGAGAUUCUCAAAUCGAGCUAUCAUAGUAAGGGAUGCAUACCGUUUUCAUCAUUUUGAAGGCGGUUUCUGUUCAUGUAAAGAUUAUUGGUAGUAAGUGAAUUUCAGAAAUAGGAUAAUAGAAAUAUGGGGGCUCAGAAAUGUACUCUAAUUAGUUGGCUCUCUCUGCUCAAUUUUUCAUUGAAGAAAAAACUUGAUAUCUGUAGUGAAGACUUCUCCUGCAUUGUUUAUUAGAGGUAUUUUGAUUGGUGAUGGCGAGAGCUACUCCAAGAUAUCGGUUACUUAAAACAGAAUUGCGAUUUCACCUAAGAGGGGUAGCUCAAAAAGUCAGGUAUGUAGUUUGCUCCCACAAAGUCUAAGAGGUUCAAGUCUCUUUUGGGUAUUUGCAUAGUAAUUGUUAGUUCUUUGGUCCCCAAAUAAGGCGGGAAACCUAGCUCGAAUAGGCAGAUACACAAAAGAGACUUGAACCUUUUAGAUAUAUUAGGUGUAUGUUACGUGAGCGAAACCCUCCAGAAUGUUCGAGAUGAUGUUGAAUCUCGAACAACAUUCAACUCCUUAAUCCACGAGUCAAAGAAUUGUGGCGUUAUAAUAAAAGGGGAGGAGGGAGCUAUAAAUUGUGGCUCCUCAUGAGAGUUUCAACUCCUUCCACGAAUGUUCGCCAAGAUCCUCUAAGGUGGGUCACCCCCACCUACAACAAGUGCUUCACAUGAGCCCCAACAGAACUGUAGGUGCAUGAAUGCUCUUGAGAUGUAUGUAAAUGAUGACUAGGUUGGUAGACAUUGUCCUUCCAUUUAAGACUCUCAAAAUAAUCACCUUCAUUGGAUAAUUUAGUGUAUGUCACUUUAUCGGGUUCAGUAUGAUUCAAUUUUUUAUGAGAAGGCCACUUAUGCUCAAUCAUCUUCUAGCAAAAUUAGAAACUUUUCUUGGUUAAAAUCUUUAAGAACAAUGGCAAUUUUUCCUAUUCAUCUUUGUUCACAAUUUUGUAAUUUUGAAACAAAUAAGGGAAAAAGGGUAAGCUUGUUAUCUU